rnacentral:rRNA from 1 species
UACGUAGGGUGCGAGCGUUAAUCGGAAUUACUGGGCGUAAAGCGUGCGCAGGCGGUUUGUUAAGUCUGAUGUGAAAGCCCCGGGCUCAACCUGGGAAUGGCAUUGGAAACUGGCAAGCUCGCGUUUGGCAGAGGGGGGUGGAAUUCCGCGUGUAGCAGUGAAAUGCGUAGAGAUGCGGAGGAACACCGAUGGCGAAGGCAGCCCCCUGGGCUAACACUGACGCUCAUACACGAAAGCGUGGAGAGCAAACAGG